rnacentral:lncRNA from 1 species
UCCUUGGUUAAGAGGACAACCAAUUCAUUUGGCACACAAUAACCUCCACUCAAUAAAUGUCAUCAUUCUAUAAUAAUAUAUCACUUGGUCGCGAACAUAUUUAAGAACUAUACGAUAAAUCCUCUCUUUAUCAUACACUAGCAUAGUUUUAAGAACUUCAUCAUAGCACAAGAGUUCAAAGAAGAUAUAACUUUAUGAUAAAAAAUAUUAAAAUAAUUUUUAUUCAAUAAUCAAUAAUUCAUAUAUAAGGAUGAACUCAAUCGUCACACGAUUCAUUUUAGGAUACAAUUUCUAACAACACCUCA